rnacentral:rRNA from 1 species
GACGAACGCUGGCGGCGUGCCUAAUACAUGCCAGUUGAGCGCUGAAGGUUGGUACUUGUCCCGACUGGAUGAGCAGCGAACGGGUGAGUAACGCGUGGGGAAUCUGCCUUUGAGCGGGGGACAACAUUUGGAAACGAAUGCUAAUACCGCAUAAAAACUUUAAACACAAGUUUUAAGUUUGAAAGAUGCAAUUGCAUCACUCAAAGAUGAUCCCGCGUUGUAUUAGCUAGUUGGUGAGGUAAAGGCUCACCAAGGCGAUGAUACAUAGCCGACCUGAGAGGGUGAUCGGCCACAUUGGGACUGAGACACGGCCCAAACUCCUACGGGAGGCAGCAGUAGGGAAUCUUAGGCAAUGGACGAAAGUCUGACCGAGCAACGCCGCGUGAGUGAAGAAGGGUUUCGGAUCGUAAAACUCUGUUGGUAGAGAAGAACGUUGGUGAGAGUGGAAAGCUCAUCAAGUGACGGUAACUACCCAGAAAGGGACGGCUAACUACGUG